CUGCUGUAUCUUGGACGGGACUAUCCAAAAGGAGCAGACUAUUUUAAAAGGCGUUUGAAGAAUGUUUUCCUUAAAAACAAGGAUGUGAAGGACCCAGAGAAGAUCAAAGAACUCAUUGCACGAGGAGAAUUUGUAAUGAAGGAGCUAGAGGCCUUAUAUUUCCUUAGGAAAUACAGAGCUAUGAAGCAACGUUACUAUUCAGAUACCAAAAACUGACCAAUCACUGCCACCAGCCUAGCUGACAAUCAGUGCCAGCUGUUUGCCUGUACCAAUUAUUAUACAAUAAUUCAGUUUAAAAGGGCAAGAUACAUGUUUUUUUUUUAAAGUUUCCCUAUUGUACUAAUAUAGGUUUCAACCCUAUUGAUACUGAGAGCUUUGCCCAUAAUCCUUUAUUAUUGAAAUAGUAACAUUAGCACCUUUCAGGAGAAUACAAUUUUGAAAGAAAAUACAUCUAAUUUUUUAACAUAUUAUAGCCAAGUAUUCUAUUUCUUCAUUUACUGAUGAGAUUGUCAUUAGCAAAUGGUGUCUGAUAGGCCUGCCUGCCCUUUAGUUUGUGGAGUGUCUUUGUUUUUGGUUUUGUUACUCCAUCUAGUAUACUGAAGUGCAUUUUCAAGGCUCUCUACAGACACCUCAAAAUGAUUUGAAUGCAGUUACCAAAAUGAGACAUGUGAAGGUGGCUUCGAUCUUGAGCUGCCAAGCAGAAAACUAGCAUUAUGUAGUUAUUAUUCCCAUUACCCUUUGUGCUGCUGGCCUGCCUUAGGUUCCUAAUCUGCUUCAACUGGCCUCCAUGUAGAGUGGUAAUGCUCCUCUAUCUGUGCCAUUAAAGCUGGUGCAUUCUGUGCAGUGGUUAAGAGCACUGACUGCUCUUCCAGAGGUUCCAAGUUCAAUUCUCAGCAACCACAUGGUGACUCACAACCGUCUGUAAUGGGAUCUGAUGUCCUCUUCUUCUGGUGUGUCUGAAGACAGUUACAGUGUACUCAUAUAAAUAAAAUACAAAAAUAAACCUUAAAAUCUU
rnacentral:lncRNA from 1 species